rnacentral:rRNA from 1 species
UAGUCUUAACGAUGGAUGUCUUGGCUCUUACUGCGAUGAAGGCCGCAGCAAAAUGCGAUACGCAAUGAAAAUUGCAAUGUUUCUAAAUCAUUAGAAU